AUUGAACGCUGGCGGCAUGCUUUACACAUGCAAGUCGAACGAGUGGCGGACGGGUGAGUAAUGUUUGGGAAUCUGGCUUAUGGAGGGGGAUAACGACGGGAAACUGUCGCUAAUACCGCGUACCAUCGGAUGUGCCCAGGUGGGAUUAGUUAGUUGGUGGGGUAAUGGCCUACCAAGCCGACGAUCCCUAGCUGGUCUGAGAGGAUGACCAGCCACACCGGGACUGAGACACGGCCCAGACUCCUACGGGAGGCAGCAGUGGGGAAUAUUGCGCAAUGGGGGCAACCCUGACGCAGCCAUGCCGCGUGAAUGAAGAAGGCCUUCGGGUUGUAAAGUACUUUCAGUGAGGAGGCGUUAAUCGCAGAAGAAGCACCGGCUAACUCCGUGCCAGCAGCCGCGGUAAUAC
rnacentral:rRNA from 1 species